rnacentral:rRNA from 1 species
GACGAACGCUGGCGGCGUGGAUUAGGCAUGCAAGUCGAACGGUAUCAUCCUUUCGGGGGUGAGAGAGUGGCGAACUGGUGAGUAACACGUAGGAAUCUACCCUUAAGACGGGGACAACCCAGGGAAACUUGGGCUAAUACCGGAUGAGAGUGCGAGAGAUUGCAUUUAAAAGGAUGGCGAAAGUUGUCGCUUAGGGAUGAGCCUGCGGUCUAUUAGUUAGUUGGUGAGGUAAGAGCUCACCAAGGCGAUGAUAGAUAGGCGGCCUUAACGGGUGGUCGCCCACACUGGGAUUGAGAUACGGCCCAGACUCCUACGGGAGGCAGCAGUCGAGAAUAGUCUACAAUGGCCGGAAGGCUGAUAGUGCGACGCCGCGUGAACGAGGGAGCCCUUCGGGUGUAAAGUUCUUUUCUAUACGAGCAGUGCUAUAUAUAUGGAUAGUAUAUAUAGAGGGAUAGUAGUAUAGGAAUAAGCAACGGCUAACUCCGUGCCAGCAGCCGAC